CAGUGAAUUGUAAUACGACUCACUAUAGGGCGAAUUGGGCCCUCUAGAUGCAUGCUCGAGCGGCCGCCAGUGUGAUGGAUAUCUGCAGAAUUCGCCCUUCAGGCCUAACACAUGCAAGUCGAGCGAGACCUUCGGGUCUAGCGGCGGACGGGUUAGUAACGCGUGGGAACGUGCCCAAAGGUACGGAAUAGCCUCGGGAAACUGAGAGUAAUACCGUAUGUGCCCUUCGGGGGAAAGAUUUAUCGCCUUUGGAUCGGCCCGCGUUGGAUUAGGUAGUUGGUGGGGUAAUGGCCUACCAAGCCGACGAUCCAUAGCUGGUUUGAGAGGAUGAUCAGCAACANCUGGGACUGAGACACGGCCCAGACUCCUACGGGAGGCAGCAGUGGGGAAUCUUAGACAAUGGGGGAAACCCUGAUCUAGCCAUGCCGCGUGAGCGAUGAAGGCCUUAGGGUUGUAAAGCUCUUUCAGCUGGGAAGAUAAUGACGNACCAGCAGAAGAGCCCCGC
rnacentral:rRNA from 1 species